rnacentral:tRNA from 1 species
GGGGGAUUAGCUCAAUUGGUAGAGCACUCGAUUAGCAUGGGAGAGGUAGCGGGACCCAUGCCUGCAUCCUCCA